rnacentral:rRNA from 1 species
CAAGACCUUGCGCUAAAGGAGCGGCCGAUGUCUGAUUAGCUAGUUGGUGGGGUAAAGGCUUACCAAGGCAACGAUCAGUAGUUGGUCUGAGAGGACGGCCAACCACACUGGGACUGAGACACGGCCCAGACUCCUACGGGAGGCAGCAGUGGGAAUUUUGGACAAUGGGCGAAAGCUGAUCCAGCCAUGCCGCGUGAGUGAAGAAGGCCUUCGGGUUGUAAAGCUCUUUUAGUCGGAAAGAAAGAGUUGCAAUGAAUAAUUGUGAUUUAUGACGGUACCGACAGAAAAAGCACCGGCUAACUACGUGCCAGCAGCCGCGGUAAUACGUAGGGUGCGAGCGUUAAUCGGAAUUACUGGGCGUAAAGGGUGCGCAGACGGUCUUGCAAGUCAGAUGUGAAAGCCCCGGGCUUAACCUGGGAAUU